UACGUAGGGGGCGAGCGUUGUCCGGAAUCAUUGGGCGUAAAGCGCGUGUAGGCGGCUCGGUAAGUCCGGUGUGAAACCUUGGGGCUCAACCCCAAGCCUGCACUGGAUACUGUCGAGCUCGAGUCCGGGAGGGGAGAGCGGAAUUCCUAGUGUAGCGGUGAAAUGCGCAGAUAUCAGGAGGAAUACCGAUGGCGAAGGCAGGUCUCUGGGCUGACACUGACGCUCAUGCACGAAAGCGUGGGGAGCAAACAGG
rnacentral:rRNA from 1 species